GCAUAAAAAAGAGGAAAGUCUGGACUACCGAGAUUAGGAUUCCAUUUAACAAAUGGCUAUCGCAAGAUAAGGGAAAGUGCAACAGAAAGCAAACCGCUUUAUUUGCGCUUUUUAGUGCAAAUCAAGUAAGGGUGAAAGGGUGAGGUAAGAGCUUACCGAGCCUUAAGCAAUUAGGGCUGCAUUGCAAACCCAAUCCGUAGCAAGAAUGGCAGGUUAAAAAUCUCACAUUUUAGCCAUUCGCUUUAUGCGCGUUGUGAAAUGCGUUUUUAGAUAAAUAGUCGCUAGUGCGAUUCGCGCCAUAAAGCGCGGAUUUGCAUACAGAAUCCAGCUUACAGCUAC
rnacentral:RNase_P_RNA from 1 species